UACGAAGGGGGCUAGCGUUGCUCGGAAUUACUGGGCGUAAAGCGCACGUAGGCGGCUUUCUAAGUCGGGGGUGAAAUCCUGGAGCUCAACUCCAGAACUGCCUUCGAUACUGGAGAGCUCGAGUCCGGGAGAGGUGAGUGGAACUGCGAGUGUAGAGGUGAAAUCCGUAGAUAUUCGCAAGAACACCAGUGGCGAAGGCGGCUCACUGGCCCGGUACUGACGCUCAGGCACGAAAGCGUGGGGGGCAAACAGG
rnacentral:rRNA from 1 species